rnacentral:rRNA from 1 species
GGAAUUGACGGGGGCCCGCACAAGCGGCGGAGCAUGCGGAUUAAUUCGAUGCAACGCGAAGAACCUUACCAAGGCUUGACAUGGACCGGACCGGGCUGGAAACAGUCUUUCCCUUCGGGGCUGGUUCACAGGUGGUGCAUGGUUGUCGUCAGCUCGUGUCGUGAGAUGUUGGGUUAAGUCCCGCAACGAGCGCAACCCUCGUUCCAUGUUGCCAUCACGUGAUGGUGGGGACUCAUGGGAGACUGCCGGGGUCAACUCGGAGGAAGGUGGGGACGACGUCAAAUCAUCAUGCCCCUUAUGUCUUGGGCUUCACGCAUGCUACAAUGGCCGGUACAAAGGGUUGCGAUACUGUGAGGUGGAGCUAAUCCCAAAAAGCCGGUCUCAGUUCGGAUUGGGGUCUGCAACUCGACCCCAUGAAGUCGGAGUCGCUAGUAAUCGCAGAUCAGCAACGCUGCGGUGAAUACGUUCCCGGGCCUUGUACACACCGCCCGUCAAGUCACGAAAGUUGGUAACACCCGAAGCCGGUGGCCUAACCCCUUUGUGGGAGGGAGCCGUCGAAGGUGGGACCGGCGAUUGGGACUAAGUCGUAACAAGGUAGCC